CAAUAGCGUAUAUUAAAGUUGUUGCGGUUAAAAAGCUCGUAGUUGGAUUUGUGGUUCGUCCCGCCGGCUGGGUCAUUGACUUUUGCUGUGCUGGUCGUCCAUCCUUGGGUGGAAUCUGUGUGGCAUUAGGUUGUCGCGCAGGGGAUGCCCAUCGUUUACUGUGAAAAAAUUAGAGUGUUCAAAGCAGGCUUAUGCCGUUGAAUAUAUUAGCAUGGAAUAAUGAUAUAGGACCUUGGUACUAUUUUGUUGGUUUGCGCAUCGAGGUAAUGAUUAAUAGGGACAGUUGGGGGUAUUCGUAUUCCAUUGUAAGAGGUGAAAUUCUUGGAUUUUUGGAAGACGAACUACUGCGAAAGCAUUUACCAAGGAUGUUUUCAUUA
rnacentral:rRNA from 1 species